ACGUUCGGAUUGAAGGCUGAAAUUCGCCUUCAUGAAGCCGGAAUUGCUAGUAAUGGCAGGUCAGCAUACUGCCGUGAGUACGUUCCCGGGCCUUGUACACACCGCCCGUCACACCAUGAGAGUUGGAGAUACCCGAAGUCAGUAGUCCAACCUCGUGAGGACGCUGCCGAAGGUAGGAUUGGCGACUGGGGUGAAGUCGUAACAAGGUAGC
rnacentral:rRNA from 1 species